UGGCGCCCAACGUGGGGCCUGGAAACGAGGGACUCCGUGAGGAAGAGGACGCCAAAGGACGGUCGACCGCUAACGAAGACAAAAGGAGUCAAAUUCUUCCGAUCACCGCGGGAACCUGCCGCGUCAGAAUCGAAGGUAAGUGACGCGUCCGAAAUGGGACAAGAAUUAAGCCAACAUCAAAUAUAUGCAGGACAAUUAAAAGAGGCUUUAAAGAUAUGAGGAGUAAAGGUUAAAGGUAAUGAUUUGUUUAAAUUUUUUGAUUUUGUAAAAGACACUUGCCCUU
rfam:Macaca mulatta chromosome 11, whole genome shotgun sequence.